UCGUAAGGACGACCUUGCGCAUCUGCUUCAAACGGGGACGGCCCC
rnacentral:ncRNA from 1 species